UGAGGAAUAUUGCGCAAUGGGGGAAACCCUGACGCAGCAACGCCGCGUGUGGGAAGAAGGCCUUCGGGUCGUAAACCACUUUUGCACGGGACGAAAAAGGGAUAUCGAACAAAUAUCCCCGAUGACGGUACCGUGAGAAUAAGCCACGGCUAACUCUGUGCCAGCAGCCGCGGUAAGACAGAGGUGGCAAGCGUUGUUCGGAAUUACUGGGCGUAAAGAGUCUGUAGGUGGUUUGUCAAGUCUUUGGUGAAAGGCCGUAGCUUAACUAUGGGAAUGCCAAAGAGACUGGCAGGCUGGAGGCUGGGAGAGGGAAGCGGAAUUUCUGGUGUAGCGGUGAAAUGCGUAGAUAUCAGAAGGAAGGCCGGUGGCGAAGGCGGCUUCCUGGAACAGUCCUGACACUGAGAGACGAAAGCGUGGGGAGCAAACAGG
rnacentral:rRNA from 1 species